AGUCUAGUACUCAGAUCAGAUAAGAGCUCUAUCAAUGAGGAUAUGUGUGGUAUGAUUGAAAAGUCUGAGGAAGGAUUAGAAAAAAAACUCGAUGGAGGCUGGCGAUACUCCUGCUACUGCUGCACCUACUGAAAAAUCUGCUCCUGAUACUACUAAAACUGGUGGAGCUACUGAAGAACCUGAUCUUGAAACUGUUGCUGCGGAAUAGAUAGAAUGCCUGCCACUCUCUCAGCUAACAGUCCCAUGUCAUCCUCCCUCAAACUAAAAGAUGGCACGGUACGGCUUGACGAUAGGGGUAUAUUGACUGAGGAUCCUGCCUUAAGCUUCGAUACAGAGUGAUCAACUAGACUCUGCCUGGGCAUAAGUGGUGAAGGUGGACCCUCUCCCUCAGCAUGCUCCUCCUCAUCAUCCUCCUCCUCGACUUCAGCUGCAUGGCCCUUGACCCAAUGUCCAUCUACUCUGACAAACCUCGUGCACCGAAGGGAGUGGUCAUUGUAGGUGUCGGUGUUUGAUAGUCUACAAAUAAUUUCUCCCUCAAAGCUCACUCC
rnacentral:lncRNA from 1 species